UUAAGCGACUAAGCGUACACGGUGGAUGCCCUGGCAGUCAGAGGCGAUGAAGGGCGUGCUAAUCUGCGAUAAGCGCCGGUAAGGUGAUAUGAACCGUUAUAACCGGCGAUACCCGAAUGGGGAAACCCAGUGUGACUCGUCACACUAUCAUUAACUGAAUCCAUAGGUUAAUGAGGCGAACCGGGGGAACUGAAACAUCUAAGUACCCCGAGGAAAAGAAAUCAACCGAGAUUCCCCCAGUAGCGGCGAGCGAACGGGGAGGAGCCCAGAGCCUGAAUCAGCAUGUGUGUUAGUGGAAGCGUCUGGAAAGGCGCGCGAUACAGGGUGACAGCCCCGUACACAAAAGCGCAUGUGUUGUGAGCUCGAUGAGUAGGGCGGGACACGUGGUAUCCUGUCUGAAUAUGGGGGGACCAUCCUCCAAGGCUAAAUACUCCUGACUGACCGAUAGUGAACCAGUACCGUGAGGGAAAGGCGAAAAGAACCCCGGCGAGGGGAGUGAAAAAGAACCUGAAACCGUGUACGUACAAGCAGUGGGAGCACAGGUUUACCUGUGUGACUGCGUACCUUUUGUAUAAUGGGUCAGCGACUUAUAUUCUGUAGCAAGGUUAACCGUAUAGGGGAGCCGGAGGGAAACCGAGUCUUAAUUGGGCGUUAAGUUGCAGGGUAUAGACCCGAAACCCGGUGAUCUAGCCAUGGGCAGGUUGAAGGUUGGGUAACACUAACUGGAGGACCGAACCGACUAAUGUUGAAAAAUUAGCGGAUGACCUGUGGCUGGGGGUGAAAGGCCAAUCAAACCGGGAGAUAGCUGGUUCUCCCCGAAAGCUAUUUAGGUAGCGCCUCGUGAAUUCAUCUCCGGGGGUAGAGCACUGUUUCGGCUAGGGGGCCAUCCCGGCUUACCAACCCGAUGCAAACUGCGAAUACCGGAGAAUGUUAUCACGGGAGACACACGGCGGGUGCUAACGUCCGUCGUGAAGAGGGAAACAACCCAGACCGCCAGCUAAGGUCCCAAAGUCAUGGUUAAGUGGGAAACGAUGUGGGAAGGCCCAGACAGCCAGGAUGUUGGCUUAGAAGCAGCCAUCAUUUAAAGAAAGCGUAAUAGCUCACUGGUCGAGUCGGCCUGCGCGGAAGAUGUAACGGGGCUAAACCAUGCACCGAAGCUGCGGCAGCGACGCUUAUGCGUUGUUGGGUAGGGGAGCGUUCUGUAAGCCUGUGAAGGUGUGUCGUGAGGCAUGCUGGAGGUAUCAGAAGUGCGAAUGCUGACAUAAGUAACGAUAAAGCGGGUGAAAAGCCCGCUCGCCGGAAGACCAAGGGUUCCUGUCCAACGUUAAUCGGGGCAGGGUGAGUCGACCCCUAAGGCGAGGCCGAAAGGCGUAGUCGAUGGGAAACGGGUUAAUAUUCCCGUACUUGGUGUUACUGCGAAGGGGGGACGGAGAAGGCUAUGUUGGCCGGGCGACGGUUGUCCCGGUUUAAGCGUGUAGGUGUGUGUUCCAGGUAAAUCCGGUUCACUUUAACACUGAGGCGUGACGACGAGGCACUACGGUGCUGAAGCAACAAAUGCCCUGCUUCCAGGAAAAGCCUCUAAGCAUCAGGUAACAUCAAAUCGUACCCCAAACCGACACAGGUGGUCAGGUAGAGAAUACCAAGGCGCUUGAGAGAACUCGGGUGAAGGAACUAGGCAAAAUGGUGCCGUAACUUCGGGAGAAGGCACGCUGACACGUAGGUGAAGUGAUUUACUCAUGGAGCUGAAGUCAGUCGAAGAUACCAGCUGGCUGCAACUGUUUAUUAAAAACACAGCACUGUGCAAACACGAAAGUGGACGUAUACGGUGUGACGCCUGCCCGGUGCCGGAAGGUUAAUUGAUGGGGUCAGCGCAAGCGAAGCUCCUGAUCGAAGCCCCGGUAAACGGCGGCCGUAACUAUAACGGUCCUAAGGUAGCGAAAUUCCUUGUCGGGUAAGUUCCGACCUGCACGAAUGGCGUAAUGAUGGCCAGGCUGUCUCCACCCGAGACUCAGUGAAAUUGAACUCGCUGUGAAGAUGCAGUGUACCCGCGGCAAGACGGAAAGACCCCGUGAACCUUUACUAUAGCUUGACACUGAACAUUGAGCCUUGAUGUGUAGGAUAGGUGGGAGGCUUUGAAGUGUGGACGCCAGUCUGCAUGGAGCCGACCUUGAAAUACCACCCUUUAAUGUUUGAUGUUCUAACGUGGACCCGUAAUCCGGGUUGCGGACAGUGUCUGGUGGGUAGUUUGACUGGGGCGGUCUCCUCCUAAAGAGUAACGGAGGAGCACGAAGGUUGGCUAAUCCUGGUCGGACAUCAGGAGGUUAGUGCAAUGGCAUAAGCCAGCUUGACUGCGAGCGUGACGGCGCGAGCAGGUGCGAAAGCAGGUCAUAGUGAUCCGGUGGUUCUGAAUGGAAGGGCCAUCGCUCAACGGAUAAAAGGUACUCCGGGGAUAACAGGCUGAUACCGCCCAAGAGUUCAUAUCGACGGCGGUGUUUGGCACCUCGAUGUCGGCUCAUCACAUCCUGGGGCUGAAGUAGGUCCCAAGGGUAUGGCUGUUCGCCAUUUAAAGUGGUACGCGAGCUGGGUUUAGAACGUCGUGAGACAGUUCGGUCCCUAUCUGCCGUGGGCGCUGGAGAACUGAGGGGGGCUGCUCCUAGUACGAGAGGACCGGAGUGGACGCAUCACUGGUGUUCGGGUUGUCAUGCCAAUGGCACUGCCCGGUAGCUAAAUGCGGAAGAGAUAAGUGCUGAAAGCAUCUAAGCACGAAACUUGCCCCGAGAUGAGUUCUCCCUGAGACUUAGAGUCUCCUGAAGGAACGUUGAAGACGACGACGUUGAUAGGCCGGGUGUGUAAGCGCAGCGAUGCGUUGAGCUAACCGGUACUAAUGAACCGUGAGGCUUAACCUU
rnacentral:rRNA from 1 species